CUCAUUGUUCUCUGCUCAGUUAAUUUUAUGUGACAAACCCAUAUUGUGUUUACUGAAAAAUUGUGAAAAAAAUUGGAAAAAAUGUAAAUUGGAAGUUUUCUCACUUCUCAAAUUUUGCGGGAAAUUUUCUCACUUUGAUUAAUUACAAUUUACGAUGCCGAGGAGAAGACGGCCUGACUUAGGUCGUCGUAGUCAAUUAAAUGUGUGAAGAGCUACCUCAAGUGCUAACCGCACAGAUCAAGAAAAUAGUCGUAUUGCUAUGUCAGAAUUGCGUUCUUUAGUGAGUGGCAAUGUAGGAGAUAGGCUUAGAAUGCAACGAGUUCGUGCACAUUAAACACAUCAACAGCAAGCUAGACAUAAUGAAACUAAGCGAAUCUGCAUUCCACUAUGAUUCGGCAAUUGAUUAUUGUGCCGACAAAUCAGUAAAAAUUGGGGAUAUGAAAACAAUUUGUAAAUAUUGUAAGGCGUUAAAGUACACUGGUAAAUCUACUGGAUUAUGUUGCGCUGAAGGCAAAGUAAAAUUGCCACAAUUGGUCCCACCACCAGAUCCUUUACGCUCCUUAGUUUCUGGGAUUGGAAAUGAUUCGAAGCACUUUUUGACCAACAUUCAGAAAUAUAACAACUGUGUUCAGAUGCCAUCAUUUGGUGCUACACAUAUUAUACAAGCCAAUUUCAUGCCCACUUUUAAGAUACAAGGACAAUUUUAUCACUUACUGGGAACUCUGAUACCACUACCUGAUGCAGAUCAUCAAUUUUUACAAAUUUAUUUUAUGGGCAAUUCAGAUGCGGAAAUUAAUAUUCGUUGUGCUCACAAACCAACAGUAAAGAGAACCAUUGUCCAACAAUUACAAAUGUUUCUUCAUCAGAAUAACAAUUUAGUAAACAUGAUCAAAAUAGCAUUGGAUCGGAUGCCAUCUGAUAGCCAUAAUACUGGAAGACUGGCUGUGAAAAGACUGAUGAAUAACGUCAUUGAGACAA